AGUGGGAUAACUGGGUCAAAUGGUAGUUUCAUUUCAGCUUUUCUGAGGAAUCUUCAUACUACUUUCCAGAGUGGUUGCACCAAUUUACCAUCCCACCAGUAAA
rnacentral:pre_miRNA from 1 species